rnacentral:rRNA from 1 species
UACGUAGGUGGCAAGCGUUGUCCGGAAUCACUGGGCGUAAAGCGCGCGCAGGCGGCGAUCUACGUCUGGGGUGAAAGCCCGGAGCUCAACUCCGGGACUGCCUUGGAUACGGGAUCGCUUGAGGAUUGGAGAGGCAAGGGGAAUUCCACGUGUAGCGGUGAAAUGCGUAGAGAUGUGGAGGAACACCUGUGGCGAAGGCGGCAUCCUGGACCAACACUGACACUGAGGAGCGAAAGCCAGGGGAGCAAACGGG